AGCAUGCGAGUCAAAUGUUCUUCGUGAACAUGGCGUACUGCUCAGUAACACGUGGACAACCUGCCCUAAGGUCUGGCAUAACUCCGGGAAACUGGGGAUAAUUCCAGAUGAACCAUAGAUACUGGAAUGUGCUGUGGUUAAAAGCUCCGGUGCCUUAGGAUGGAUCUGCGGCCUAUCAGGUAGUAGUGGGUGUAAUGUACCUACUAGCCUACGACGGGUACGGGUUGUGAGAGCAAGAGCCCGGAGAUGGAUUCUGAGACAUGAAUCCAGGCCCUACGGGGCGCAGCAGGCGCGAAAACUUUACAAUGCGGGAAACCGCGAUAAGGGGACACUGAGUGUCAGUACCAUGUACUGGCUGUCCGCAUGUAUAAAUCACAUGUGUCAGCAAGGGCCGGGCAAGACCGGUGCCAGCCGCCGCGGUAACACCGGCGGCCCGAGUGGUGGCCAUUAUUAUUGGGUCUAAAGGGUCCGUAGCCGGUUUGAUCAGUCUUCCGGGAAAUCUGACAGCUCAACUGUUAGGCUUCCGGGGGAUACUGUCAGACUUGGAACCGGGAGAGGUAAGAGGUACUACAGGGGUAGGAGUGAAAUCUUGUAAUCCUUGUGGGACCACCAGUGGCGAAGGCGUCUUACCAGAACGGGUUCGACGGUGAGGGACGAAAGCUGGGGGCACGAACCGGAUUAGAUACCCGGGUAGUCCCAGCCGUAAACGAUGCUCGCUAGGUGUCUGGGAUGGUGCGACCGUUUCAGGUGCCGCAGGGAAGCCGUGAAGCGAGCCACCUGGGAAGUACGGCCGCAAGGCUGAAACUUAAAGGAAUUGGCGGGGGAGCACUACAACGGGUGGAGCCUGCGGUUUAAUUGGACUCAACGCCGGAAAACUCACCUGGGGCGACAGCAAUAUGUAGG
rnacentral:rRNA from 1 species